UGGGGAAUAUUGGACAAUGGGCGAAAGCCUGAUCCAGCCAUGCCGCGUGUGUGAAGAAGGUCUUCGGAUUGUAAAGCACUUUAAGUUGGGAGGAAGGGUUGUAGAUUAAUACUCUGCAAUUUUGACGUUACCGACAGAAUAAGCACCGGCUAACUCUGUGCCAGCAGCCGCGGUAAUACAGAGGGUGCAAGCGUUAAUCGGAAUUACUGGGCGUAAAGCGCGCGUAGGUGGUUAGUUAAGUUGGAUGUGAAAUCCCCGGGCUCAACCUGGGAACUGCAUUCAAAACUGACUGACUAGAGUAUGGUAGAGGGUGGUGAAAUUUCCUGUGUAGCGGUGAAAUGCGUAGAUAUAGGAAGGAACACCAGUGGCGAAGGCGACCACCUGGACUGAUACUGACACUGAGGUGCGAAAGCGUGGGGAGCAAACA
rnacentral:rRNA from 1 species